rnacentral:rRNA from 1 species
GUGCGGUCUAUAAUGCAGUCGAGCGGACAGAAGGGAGCUUGCUCCCGGAUGUUAGCGGCGGACGGGUGAGUAACACGUGGGUAACCUGCCUGUAAGACUGGGAUAACUCCGGGAAACCGGAGCUAAUACCGGAUAGUUCCUUGAACCGCAUGGUUCAAGGAUGAAAGACGGUUUCGGCUGUCACUUACAGAUGGACCCGCGGCGCAUUAGCUAGUUGGUGAGGUAACGGCUCACCAAGGCGACGAUGCGUAGCCGACCUGAGAGGGUGAUCGGCCACACUGGGACUGAGACACGGCCCAGACUCCUACGGGAGGCAGCAGUAGGGAAUCUUCCGCAAUGGACGAAAGUCUGACGGAGCAACGCCGCGUGAGUGAUGAAGGUUUUCGGAUCGUAAAGCUCUGUUGUUAGGGAAGAACAAGUGCAAGAGUAACUGCUUGCACCUUGACGGUACCUAACCAGAAAGCCACGGCUAACUACGUGCCAGCAGCCGCGGUAAUACGUAGGUGGCAAGCGUUGUCCGGAAUUAUUGGGCGUAAAGGGCUCGCAGGCGGUUUCUUAAGUCUGAUGUGAAAGCCCCCGGCUCAACCGGGGAGGGUCAUUGGAAACUGGGAAACUUGAGUGCAGAAGAGGAGAGUGGAAUUCCACGUGUAGCGGUGAAAUGCGUAGAGAUGUGGAGGAACACCAGUGGCGAAGGCGACUCUCUGGUCUGUAACUGACGCUGAGGAGCGAAAGCGUGGGGAGCGAACAGGAUUAGAUACCCUGGUAGUCCACGCCGUAAACGAUGAGUGCUAAGUGUUAGGGGGUUUCCGCCCCUUAGUGCUGCAGCUAACGCAUUAAGCACUCCGCCUGGGGAGUACGGUCGCAAGA